AAAUUGAAGAGUUUGAUCAUGGCUCAGAUUGAUCGCUGGCGGCAGGCCUAACACAUGCAAGUCGAGCGGUAGCACAGAGAGCUUGCUCUCGGGUGACGAGCGGCGGACGGGUGAGUAAUGUCUGGGAAACUGCCUGAAGGAGGGGGAUAACUACUGGAAACGGUAGCUAAAACCGCAUAAUGUCGCAAGACCAAAGUGGGGGACCUUCGGGCCUCAUGCCAUCAGAUGUGCCCAGAUGGGAUUAGCUAGUAGGUGGGGUAA
rnacentral:rRNA from 1 species